GGCGAUGUCAGGGGGUGCCUCUGUCCCGCGCCAGUGGGUCCUCAGCACCCCUCCACGCUGGCUAAUCUCCCCCUUGGAGAUUAGAGUGGACCCCAGGCCUAGGGACACUCACAGGCACCAGCUCAAUUUUGAUGACCCUGUUUGGUUUUUCUGGCACUCUUUAAGGUGAUCUUCUCUAGCUCACGAACGGCACUAUUUUUCCCAUUUAGCAUCAUAAAAAGACAUUUCCUUACAAACUAGUUAGUUGAGGUAAAACUGAGUCCACUUAAGGAAACAAGACCGAGCGAAGAGCAGACUACAGGCGGCGUGGGGAUGUGACACAAAUUAUUAAGAUGGUACGGCACGGUGCGAGGACGUGGCACAAAUCGUGUCCACGCAGGAGUGGAGCCGGUCAAGGCGGUGCAGGGGGGAGAGCCCCGGAGUCCAGGUCCAGGGGCUGGCGCGGCUCCUUCCAGAGGGGCCGGGCCAGAGGGCCCGGUCGGUCUGGCCGCACAGCUUGCCGUGAGGACUGACCAGGAGGCUUGCUCCUGCGAAACUGCCUGACAGGAUGACCAAGCAGAACACGCUGUGGGGCCAUGCCCUUUGGAAUCCAAACUUAUCCCACCCACUUGGGGUGGUCAGUGGCUGCUCACUGCUGACUCGAGAAUGCUACUAAUCUGAAGUGAAGCGGCACAAGAGCCAAAUUUGUGGCCACUGGUCCUGGUCCCCGGGUCCCAGGGAUACCUGACAGGAUGGCUUCAGCUCCUAAGGCUGUGCACGGACGUCCCGGUUCACUGAACUGCCUUUCAGGCCUCAAGCGGCUAGAGGACGAACAACAGGAGAGAGACGCAGUCAUCGUCCCGUCGGGCGCAGACGAGCGGCAGGAACCAGAUCCGCGUCCCUCCCUGGAGAGUCCGAUCGCGGGUGACUGCUCUGUGCUCCCUCGGCAGAGUCCCAGGGUCUCCACCAGAGAAGAAAAACGGUUAAAACAACAGGCGGCCUGUGGGAUUUGCCUUUAAUUAAAUAGUCUAGGAGGCAGGAAUUAACUUACAAUUUGAC
rnacentral:lncRNA from 1 species